AUUGAACGCUGGCGGCAGGCCUAACACAUGCAAGUCGAGCGGAUGAAGGGAGCUUGCUCUUGGAUUCAGCGGCGGACGGGUGAGUAAUGCCUAGGAAUCUGCCUGGUAGUGGGGGAUAACGUCCGGAAACGGGCGCUAAUACCGCAUACGUCCUGAGGGAGAAAGUGGGGGAUCUUCGGACCUCACGCUAUCAGAUGAGCCUAGGUCGGAUUAGCUAGUUGGUGGGGUAAAGGCCUACCAAGGCGACGAUCCGCAACUGGUCUGAGAGGAUGAUCAGUCACACUGGAACUGAGACACGGUCCAGACUCCUACGGGAGGCAGCAGUGGGGAAUAUUGGACAAUGGGCGAAAGCCUGAUCCAGCCAUGCCGCGUGUGUGAAGAAGGUCUUCGGAUUGUAAAGCACUUUAAGUUGGGAGGAAGGGCAGUAAGUUAAUACCUUGCUGUUUUGACGUUACCAACAGAAUAAGCACCGGCUAACUUCGUG
rnacentral:rRNA from 1 species